rnacentral:rRNA from 1 species
GACGAACGCUGGCGGCGUGCUUAACACAUGCAAGUCGAGCGGUAAGGCCCUUUCGGGGGUACGACGAGCGGCGAACGGGUGAGUAACACGUGGGUGACCUGCCCUUAGCUCUGGGAGUAAGCCUGGGAAACGUAGGGUCGUAAUACCGGAUAUGACUCCAUGACGCAUGUUGUGGGGUGGAAAGCCUUGUGCGGCUAGGGAGUGGGCCCGCGGCCUAUCAGCUUGUUGGUGGGGU